GCUGGGGUUGUGGCUCAGCGGUAGAGCGCUAGCCUGGCAUGCACGAGGCCCUGAGUUCGAUCCUCAGCACCAAUA